UACGUAGGGUGCGAGCGUUGUCCGGAAUUACUGGGCGUAAAGAGCUCGUAGGUGGUUUGUCGCGUUGUUCGUGAAAACCUGAGGCUUAACCUUGGGCGUGCGGGCGAUACGGGCAGACUGGAGUACUGCAGGGGAGAUUGGAAUUCCUGGUGUAGCGGUGGAAUGCGCAGAUAUCAGGAGGAACACCGGUGGCGAAGGCGGGUCUCUGGGCAGUAACUGACGCUGAGGAGCGAAAGCGUGGGGAGCGAACAGG
rnacentral:rRNA from 1 species